rnacentral:rRNA from 1 species
GUCGAACGGUAACAGAAAGCAGCUUGCUGCUUUGCUGACGAGUGGCGGACGGGUGAGUAAUGUCUGGGAAACUGCCUGAUGGAGGGGGAUAACUACUGGAAACGGUAGCUAAUACCGCAUAACGUCGCAAGACCAAAGAGGGGGACCUUCGGGCCUCUUGCCAUCGGAUGUGCCCAGAUGGGAUUAGCUAGUAGGUGGGGUAAAGGCUCACCUAGGCGACGAUCCCUAGCUGGUCUGAGAGGAUGACCAGCCACACUGGAACUGAGACACGGUCCAGACUCCUACGGGAGGCAGCAGUGGGGAAUAUUGCACAAUGGGCGCAAGCCUGAUGCAGCCAUGCCGCGUGUAUGAAGAAGGCCUUCGGGUUGUAAAGUACUUUCAGCGGGGAGGAAGGGAGUAAAGUUAAUACCUUUGCUCAUUGACGUUACCCGCAGAAGAAGCACCGGCUAACUCCGUGCCAGCAGCCGCGGUAAUACGGAGGGUGCAAGCGUUAAUCGGAAUUACUGGGCGUAAAGCGCACGCAGGCGGUUUGUUAAGUCAGAUGUGAAAUCCCCGGGCUCAACCUGGGAGCUGCAUCUGAUACUGGCAAGCUUGAGUCUCGUAGAGGGGGGUAGAAUUCCAGGUGUAGCGGUGAAAUGCGUAGAGAUCUGGAGGA